UAUUUUCUUAACUGCAGAAGGGAAGGUUUCAUAGGAUUUUUUUUUUAAUCACAAUCCGUGUAAGCAGCUGUUAAAGCUGAGCCCCAGGCUUCACUGCCCUGCAUCGCAAUGGGUCGGGUUGCACUGCCCAUUGCUGUAGAAGUCGUUUUAUUGGUGGGCUGUGUAUCUCUAGCAGUGUCUUGCCAGAGCCUUCCUUUGAACUGCCCCCUUAGCCAGCCUGCAGCCCGCGAUGGACCCCAGGGUGUGACCCUUGGGGCGUGCGCAAUUCCCCCGCGCCUCCGGGAUCAAAGGCCAGGUCCUGUAGGUUGUUUGGACUCUUCCCGGGAGUGUCCGGUGGGGCCCAGCGGGGGCGGGUGAGGGGACCCUGCAGAGCCUGGCGUUGUAGGGGCGGCCUUAGCUGCACGAGCCCCAGCGGGCAGGCUCGGCAUGGUUGCCAUGGUAACUGAGGGACAGCGCGCCUUAGGGAUCAUCUCAGCCAGUCAGCGCGGAGGGGGCGAGGCCCCGUUGGCCAGGUGGCCAAUCACAGCAUCGCUGUGAGAGCAAACUAGCGCGACGCGGCCUGGCGGAAUGGCGUUGUGCUGAGGAGGAGUGAGGGAGCGGGACCAGCCGGGCGCGCUGGGCGGGGCGCGGCGCGGCGCGGCGCGGCGCAGAGACCGGCGACCCCAUAAGGAGCGGGGUGGGGGCCGGCAGGAGCCGGGCACACGAUGCGGGACAGCGCUGCCCUGGGGAAGGGGAGCCCGUGUUGCCCGGCGUUUUCCGGGGGGGCCGUGGUGAGCGGGGGGCCGGAGCCCGGCGAGAAGGGGCUGAUGUAUCCAGAGACGCCUAAGCUCUUGCAGGGGGUGAAGCCGGUGCCUGGGUCAGUGGAAGCCGAGACCCCCAGUGGGUCUGCCCCCGGGGCUCCCCCCGAGGUGCGCCUGUCCCUACGCCGCUGGCCCGUGGUGCUGCUGUUCAGCUGCUACUCGCUCUGCAAUGCCUUCCAGUGGAUCCAGUACGGGAGCAUCAACAACAUCUUCGUGCACUUCUACGGCGUAAGCACCUUCGCCAUCGACUGGCUCUCCAUGUGCUACAUGCUCACCUACAUCCCCCUUCUUUUCCCUGUGGCCUGGCUGCUGGACAAGAGGGGCCUCCGCCUCAUCGCCCUCGCCGGUUCAGCCUUCAACUGUCUAGGCGCCUGGGUGAAGCUGGGCAGCAUGAAGCCGCACCUCUUCCCUGUUACCGUCCUGGGGCAGGUCAUCUGCUCGGUGGCGCAGGUCUUCAUUCUGGGCAUGCCCUCGCGCAUCGCCUCCAUCUGGUUCGGGUCCCAUGAGGUCUCUACUGCCUGCUCCAUCGCUGUCUUUGGGAACCAGCUUGGAAUUGCAGUGGGCUUUGUUCUCCCUCCCGUUCUGGUUCCCAACUUGGAGGACACAGAACAGCUGGCCUACCACAUCAGCAUCAUGUUUUUCAUCAUUGCAGCUGUGGCAACGGUGCUCUUCAUCCUCGUCAUCAUUGUGUUCCGAGAGAAGCCCCCGUUUCCCCCAAGCCGGGCCCAGGCCUUGAUCCAGUUGAAGCCACCUGAGGAAUAUUCCUACGUGCAGUCCAUCCUCAGGCUGCUCCGCAAUACCAAUUUUGUCCUGCUGAUAGUCGCUUAUGGUUUGAACACUGGUUGCUUCUAUGCCCUGUCCACUCUGCUGAACCGCAUGGUGAUCCAGAACUAUCCAGGGGAGGAGGUGAAUGCUGGAAGAAUUGGACUCACCAUUGUAGUGUCUGGCAUGGCUGGAGCUCUGCUUUCUGGCAUCUGGUUGGAUAAAACCAAAACCUACAAGCAGACGACGCUGGCGGUUUACAUCAUGUCUCUGGGGGGCUUGGUGGCCUAUACCUUCACCCUGAGCCUAGGCCACCUCUGGGUGGUCUUUGUGACCGCAGGCAUGCUGGGGUUCUUCAUGACAGGAUACCUACCGCUGGGUUUUGAGUUUGCGGCAGAGUUAACAUACCCAGAGUCAGAAGGAACGUCUUCAGGCCUCCUUAAUGUAUCGGCACAGGUUUUCGGGAUCAUUUUCACCGUUGCCCAAGGGAAGAUCAUCGAUCACUUUGGGACGCAGGCGGGAAACCUCUUUCUUUGCUCCUUCCUACUCCUGGGGACUUUCAUAACUGUGUUCAUUAAGGCCGAUCUCCGGAGACAGCAGGCCAAUCUGGAUGGUGAACAGACAAGACGAGACGUCCACCCAGCGCUUCUGAAGCAGUCAGUGUCCAAGGCUGGCAAAAUGCAUAAAAUAAGCUCCCUGCUGGCUCGAAUUUUACCUUUUUGGAAGACAGUGCCGCCUUCCACCAGAUAAUCUCUAACGGCGCCGAUCUGGAGAGACCAGUGGCUCCAGGAUACCUCGUGGCCACCCUGCUCCGACCGUCAGCCCAGGAAGAGACUCCAGGACAGCAGUCACAUCACGGAUUAUGGAAUGUAGCUUGUAGCCUUAACCCCAUCACUUCCCAUCCCCGCUCAGUAGCUCUCACACAAAGGUAGGAGAAUCACACUAAUCUGCUUAUCUAAUCGCUCACAGGAAUGGCACUGGCACCAAACCAAUGGCACUAGCUGAUGCUGCUCUCCAAGGCAAUGCAACAGCUGGAGUGAUUGGGGUGUUCGGGGUACAGAAUCUGCUCUUGGCCUCUCCAGGAGACAGGGUGGGAAGGAGAAGAGAAGAGAUGGGUCUUGAGCUUGUGGGGUCCUGAGAAGAAUGAGGACUGAAGCUGAGGCUGCUUGGGUAACUGGAGCUUAGGGACAGGUGGGGAGAGUGUUCCAAGGCAAAACUCUUGUCUUGUCACAGCAGGUAGCGAAUUCUACUGUGAGUAAAUGUGCUGGGGAGAAGAAUAUUGUACAGCCUCUUGGCUGAGUAGUUAUUUAAAGUCACCAUCCAGCCUCCUCAGCAGGAGGUUCUGUCUGGGAUUGUGUCGGAGAGCUGGUCCUGAAAACAUAGAGAUAUGAUGCCAAUCAAAUGAAGUAUUAAAGACUUUGGCAAUAAUAGUUGGUGCCUUUUGUUAGAAGAGUAACUGUAAAUCGUAAAGCUCUCUGCUUUUUGCUCUGUAAUUCCAGCCCUUUGCUAGAAGUGGCUUCUCAGCUGCUGCCUAGGGAUGUUUAAUGCUUUGCUGUUCUCUUGCUGUUUGAACCCUCUGCUGUGCCUGGCUGCCCUCCCCAAAACAUUAUCUGUCCUGCUCAUGAUGUUUUAAGGUGUUUUGUGCAUGUAUUUGCUCAGUGGUGUGCAGCAAACAAGCCGAGCUGGCAAGGACCAUGUUCAGGCCUGAGAUAGUAUAGAAUCAUAGACUAUCAGGGUUGGAAGGGAUCUCAGGAGGUCAUCUAAUCCAACCCCCUGCUCAAAGCAGGACCAAUCCCCAACUAAAUCAUCCCAGCCAGGGCUUUGUCAAGCCUGACCUUAAAAAUUAUCUAAGGAAGGAGAUUCCACCACCUCCCUAGGUAACGCAUUCCAGUGUUUCACCACCCUCCUAGUGAAAAAGUUUUUCCUAAUAUCCAACCUAAACCUCCCCCACUGCAACUUGAGACCAUUACUCCUUGUUCUGUCAUCAGCUACCACUGAGAAUAUUGUAUAGAAUAUACAAUAUAGUACUGAGAAUAUAGUAUAUUGGCAACAUUGAGUUGUUGCAUGGUGUGCAGCUGGGAGCAUUAGGUUGGUGUGCUCCAGUGCAAGUGUAGGCAGAGACCGCAGGUGGGUGCAGGUGAGUGUAAGCCGUGAGCUGCAGGUGACCAGAUGUCCCAUUUUACAGGGAAAGUCCCAAUAUUUGGGGCUUUGUCUUAUAUAGGUGCCUCUUACCCCCACCCUUUGUCCCGAUUUUUCACCCUUGCUAUCUGGUCACCCUAUUUCAGCCUGAGUGCUUGUGAGACUCAAGUCCCCUGCAUGCCUCGUCCCUUUCCUGCAAGAGCAUAGGAUAGAAAAGGAGUGGGGCAAAACAUUGGUGCGUCUCAGGAGAUCUGGGUUAAGUACGGUCCUCUUUGUGCUAAUGAAGUGCUGAGCUGCGCACUCCCAUCAUAGGCCUCAUUCCUGACACUAGGUAGAAGUAACCUUGCAGCUGUGCAGCAGUAUCUCACCUUAUCUAUGCACUCCCUAUCCGUGGCCCGGGACCUCCUUGUCAACCUUCUUCUAGCCCUGGCCAAAAUGGCCAUCUACAAGACCAGGGAGAGGAGGUUGGCCGAUGGGGUCUCCUGUGACGGUGGGGCCUAUUUCUGAUCCUCUGUCCGCUCAUGCAUUCAGGCGGAGUUCCUUUGGACGGUGUCCGCUGGCUCCCUUGACACCUUCAAGGAGCAGUGGGUGCUGUCCGAGGUUUUCUGCUCGGUGUCCCUGUCAGGUUCCCUUUGUUUAGCCCUCUGACCUCACUCCUGUCCCUGUUUUAUCUUUAGUUGUCCCCCGUACUCACUUGGAAUCCUGGACCUGUGGAUACUCCCCAUAGGCUGGGGGGAGGUUCUUUAGUAGUUGGCAGGCUCUGCCCGCCCACUUCCUGGAUCCCAAUAGGAUCAAUGCAGGAUAGGGAUUCCCCACAUAUUCCCUGUCCUAUGCAGCACUGGGCACUCUGCACUUACACAUUGCUCUGCACCUCUGCUGCACAGGGACAAGUCCAAGAAAAUCUUGUUGCAAGGUGGGAAGCGCCAGUGUUCUUAAAGCUCUGAUGCCCAGAGCAGUACAAAGCGUGGUUCUCCUGCCUGGUGGUGGGGUCUGUCUUCUGGGACAGUUCCAAAAAAGAGGCUGGAGAUGGGUGUACAAACCCCUCAUGGGGCUAUUUUCAUUUGAAGCCUUGAUCUCAUGUAUUUGGGAAAUUUGCAGUAGGGUCUGUGACUGGGAUUUUAAAUUGAAUUUGGGCGUAGAGGGCUUGCAGCCUUGUAUCUGCAGCUUGGCAGCCUAGACUAGAAGAGGGUGAAGGAAUGGCAUGGGGGAGGGAGGUUGGGGGCAUGAUGCUUAAGAACCUGGUUACUUCAAAUGGGCUACAGAAUUGGAGCAAGCAACAAUUACUAAUGGUUAAAUUGUGAACUUCUGUAUUGGCCUCACAUUACAACCAUACUUACGAAUGUGCGUGUCAGGAAAUGCAUAAGUUAAACUGUGGUUCCACGCUGCCAGGUGGCCUGGUGGAGGGUUCAUGGUUGUCAUGUCUUUGUCAGGUCCGUACCGAAUGUGCUCACUUUGCAACUAAAAUGUUUUUUUCUAACUGCCGGUUCAGCAAACUGCAUUUGGGUUCUUUCUUUCUCACAUGACAUCCCUAAAGAAAGGUGCUGCAGGCCCAAUGCUGCGAUCCCUGUGUAACCCCACUGUGACCUGUGGGUUUGCACAGGGGUAGCAGAUUGGCCUCCUCUGUGAGAGAGUGGGAAGCUGGCAGAGUGAUUUUGGUGAGGGUCCCUCACCUUUGGGGCUCACGCCUCCACGUUUAGGAUAGACCUUAUUUAUUGACCCAGCAGAGCUCUUUUUGUUUUUCCUCUCUGGGAGGCACUGGGAGUACUCUGAUGGGAAAUGGAGUGGUUGUAUGUUAAUUGUGGGGCAAAGAGGGGCCUAUUUUUAAAAUGUGCCAGUGAGUACCUAAAGCAAAGGCCAGAUGGCUCCUUUUCAUGGAAGGAAAUUGAUUGAUUAAUUUCAAUGGAGUAAAGGGUUCAAUUGGUGAAAGGACUAGAAGCCAGCUCCUCUGGGAUAGCUGUCUUGGCUCUGCAGGGAUCAUAGGAACAUAAAGCUGAACAUGCAUGUGUAUGUGUGCGUGUGUGGUGUUUUUUGCAGUUGAAAUAAUCAGCUCUGACUCUGCUACCCACUCUGUGGGGUGAGAAGGGGCUAUCUGUACUUAGUUGCUUUUCAGAGCCGAAACACACUCCUAACAGUGGUCUAUCCAAGAGCUGUACAGUGUGUCUUUACUUAUUCCAGCGAGAACUGCCUUGUGACCACACACAAAUCAUCUUCUAUUAAUGCACCUCGCCACUUACAUGGAAUGGCUUUGCAGCUGGAAGCUCUUUUUCAGUGGGAGUUAAAUUGACUUAAUGGCAGUGUGAAUGCUUCACCCUCCAGUAUAACUAUGCCAGUACUGUUAGUCCUUUCACUGCUAUCCCAUCCAGCAUCAAUUCACAUCUGAAGUUAGCAGUGUGUUUAGUUUUCUGUGUUCCACUGCUCUUGAGACAUUUGGACCAAAUGUCCCCUUCUCUUUAAAUGCUAUGUGCAGAUGUCCAGGGAUCUCUAUUUGUGACUUGCUUUCAUUACAAGUACAUGGAAUCUGAAGCCAUCACAAUCAUCUUGUGUUAGCGUCCCAUAGCAGUGUCAACUAGCUCAUAUUACCAUGCUGUAUUAUAGUGGGUGCAGGUAGCACCACAGUGUAUAACUGAGGCUGGCUUACAGCAUCCAUUCUAACCUUUCUUUUAUAGUUUGCUUGCACUUUGAUGUGUUGCUUUCUGAAACAAAUGCCUUUUAUGGGUAAAAUUUUCCAUGCUGGGUCUCGGCUCAGCAAUGAAAUUUUCAACAAAGAUUUUAAGCAACAUCUGUUCAGAAGUAUGUUAAGAAUUUUUUUCAUCAAACAAAAAUGCCUGCCUAGAAUUUUGAACAUGCAUGAUUCCAAAAUAGUAGAACUGAUUUUGUUCAAACUUGGCUUGUUUUGUAGAUCUCCUUGAAACUUACAAUUCAUGCCAAAUCUAAAGGCUAUGUGGAGUGCAUUAAAAUGUACUCUACAGUAGGUUUUGUAAAAAAUUCCAACUUUUUCUAUUGGAUGACAAAUAGCUGAUAUCAAUAGACCAUAUUUUUAAAUAUGAGCACAAGGAUGCUUCAGCUUUCAGCCACAAUUCUUUCUCAACCGUAAUGCUAGUUUUUUCCCCCCCAUAGAACAUGGUCCUGUUGUACUUGAAAAUGCUACACGUGUAAUACAGGGUGAGUCAGCGUUGCUGUGAGGAAACAACUGUAUUUCCUGAGUUAGGGUGUUUAAAGGUCCUGCUUUCCUGAUGUAGCCAUGUUGGCAGGCUUGGUUGAAGCAUGGUUCUAUCUUGCAGUGAGAUGACACCUUCACUGUGUCCUCAAUGGCACUGGAACCCUGUUAAGGUGCCAUUUACACUGCAUGAUAGAACCUUGUUUUGGCUGCUUGUCGGUGACAACUUUGAUGUGCGUGCAUGUGUCUGAGUGUGGCGGUAUUUCUGACAGUGUGCUGAGGUCUAGCCAAAAUCCUCUUAGCUCUGGUGAGGGCCCUGACUCAGGGUUGAGGUACUUGCUUAGUGGAAAGCUUGGAUUCCAUCAUCUCCCUGGCUCACCAGGGCCUCACAACUUCAGCUAACUAUCUGGUUCUAGUGAAAUAUUGCAACUAGCAAAACUCCUUGAAUGUUACUGAAUUUUACUGGGCAAGGACAGGGCAUGGGAAGAAUAUUCCCAAGCACGGUCUCUCCCUCUUGCCACUCCCUGGAGAUUACAUGCCUCAUUGCUCUGCUGACCUUUCAUGUUAGCAAUGUGGCAAGUAGUCAGCAUCCCCUGCCCCAAAUCUCUGCGCAGGCAGUUUCCACACCUCAUUCCCAGUGGCGGUAUCUCCAUCUAUCCUCACUGCAUGUGCCUGCUUGUGUGCGUUGCCUUUUCCCUUUCCCAAGAUUGUGUAGCCAUGUGUGUGUUUGCAGGUUUACUAACCCUUUGUUCCUAUAGCUCAAGAAGAGGUGAAAGGUAAGUGGGGAUGAAGCUGUGAUGGGUUUGGUUUCAGACUCUACUGGCUCCCUGUUCAUUUAAAGCCCCAGUUCAAAAUCACCAAUGGCCUCCCUGACCAAGCUCCCAGAGCUCGACUCUGCUGCCCUCCCAGCAUAUCUGACUUUGGCCUCUUCUCUCCCUGCCAACACUCUUCCCACUGCUGGUGAGAGAGCCUUCCCCUCUGCAGUUUCUGCUGUCUGGAAAAGCAUCCUUCCAUCCCGCUGACUUGCUACAGCUCUCCUGAUCUGUCUCCUCCCCUUGAGCUAUUAUUAUUUAACUCUGUAAAAGCUUCUGGGCUGCAGUUUGUAUGAAAGAUACUACACAAAAUAAAGCUAUGUUUGUA